GGUCCCAAGCUGGAGAGCAAGAGCACACGCGACAUUCUCCAAUCAUCAACUGAAGCAUCUAGCAUGUGCCCUGCUUCUCCAGCAUGAAUCA
rnacentral:miRNA from 1 species